ensembl:lncRNA
CUCAGCAGUUAUUCUGCUCGUUGCCAGACAGUUGUUUACCCACAGCAGCGCCCACUCCUCAGCUACACAUUACCAUCAAUCUUUAACUUCGACCGCACCAAAAACACGAACCUCCUCGACUGCACGAGUUCCUGCUCACUCGGAUAGAAGAGGUGAUUACGCACUGUGAUUUCGUGAGGUUUCUUCAGGCUGCUGAGAUAAAGAUGUCUUUAAAGCGGAGACUUCUGUCCAUGCUGUUGUGUUGUGUGUAUUGCGUGGCCUCCAUCUUUUGCCUUCAACCGGACAGGAACAUCUGUCUUUCUCAGGGCAGCCGACGCGCUGGAAAGCCACGGUUUCCCCCACAGUGUUGUUUUCACGCUUGAAGGCCUUGCUCAGGGGCUCAGAAGUGGUU